ACAUUUCAUAUAUUAAUAAGAGCAAUUUUACGGUUCUUGAGGAGGUACCAUGAGGUACCAAUUUUUCUAUGGUAAAUUUGGUACCUCUUGGUACCUAGGUACUAUGAGGUACCAUGAGGUACCAAAUUUUACACUAAAUUUUUGGUACCUCAUGGUACCUCCUCAAGGACCGUAGAAUUGCUCUAUUAAUAAAAUUCCAG
rnacentral:misc_RNA from 1 species